CAGCCGCCGCGGGAAUACGUAGGGUGCAAGCGUUAAUCGGAAUUACUGGGCGUAAAGCGUGCGCAGGCGGUUCGCUAAGACAGAUGUGAAAUCCCCGGGCUUAACCUGGGAACUGCAUUUGUGACUGGCGGGCUAGAGUAUGGCAGAGGGGGGUAGAAUUCCACGUGUAGCAGUGAAAUGCGUAGAGACGUGGAGGAAUACCGAUGGCGAAGGCAGCCCCCUGGGCCAAUACUGACGCUCAUGCACGAAAGCGUGGGGAGCAAACAGGAUUAGAUACCCCGGUAGUCCCUGUCUCUUAUAA
rnacentral:rRNA from 1 species